AUGCUCCCAGCUGCAGAGGGUACCGGGAUGCCUGCACCAUCACCGGUCUCCUUGUACCUGCCUCACGUGAGGAUUCACCGAGUUACCUCACGCAUGGUGCCAAGCAUGCUGUGGGCACAAAGUAGGUGUUCAGUGAGUCCCUUCCUGAGUCCCUUCCUGUUGCAUGCCGACUGUUUAUCAUCUGUCCUUUGUCUGUUAUCGCUGUCUGUUGGUCUGUGUGUGUUUGGCCCAGAGGAAAGGCCUGGGCUGCCUGAGGCCGGGUUGCUGGGUGGAGGGUCAAGGGGAAGGACAGCAGGUUGCAGAGCUGUUGCACCUGUUGACCUUCCGUUCUCCCUUGGUUUGUGGUCCCCUUCCCCCUCUUCUGUCUGUCUUACUGUCUCUGAGAGGAUCCCAGGCUUUUUUUUUUUUUUUUUAAGAUUUUAUUUUUUUUAUUUAAUAGAGAGCGAGAGAUCACAAGUAGGCAGAGGGGCAGGCAGAGAGAGAGAGAGGGCAGGCAGAGAGAGGCAGCAGGCGUCCUGCUGAGCAGGGAGCCCUAUGCGGGGGGUGGGGGUGGGGCUUGAUCCCAGGACCCUGGGAUCAUGAGUUGAGCCAAAGGCAGAGGCUUGACCCACUGAGCCACCCAGGCGCCCCCCACUUUGCCCUUUUUCUGGGCCCCAGACGUACUCUGCCCUUUCUGACGUCAGUGUGCUCCCACCCAUCUCCCAGAAAUGUACUUAUCUUUUACCCACUUGUGGCUCUUCUCUCACCUCUUCCUUCCUUUGCCCGGGCUGGGUUUGUUCCUCCUUUUUUGUUACUUUACUGCUCUCUUUGUUCUGGGUCAGGCUCUGCGCGGAGUGGCAAGCUGGGCGGGAUUUGGCUCCCAUCACUGGAAAGCCUUGCGAGGGGACCUCGGGGUGGGUCUCGGAGGCUUCUGGAAUGCUUGGGUGGCAGAAUUUGUUUCUCUGCCUGUCUAAUGGGGAUGAUGGAUUUAUUGAGGGGGUGAAGCAAGUGACCUAUUUCUGUGAAAUACUUAGAAAAGUGACACUCAACAGGGAGCCCAGUGGCACCUUCUACAGUGAUGGAAAUGUCCUCCAUUAAAAUGUCUUCAUAGACUUUCAGCAUAUGAUCUCUGAUUUUGCUUUUUUAAAAGCUCUGGUUGAUUAUAGAAGUGAUUGGGAUCAAAUAUACUUCCCUAAUUACAUUAUUGAAUAUUUGUCUCAAAAAUUUCUUGAUGAACUUGGGGUACCUCCGUGGCUCACUCGGUUAAGCAUCUGCCUUCAGCUCUGGUCAUGAUGCCAGGGUCCUGGAAUGGAGCAGGCUCAGUAGUGAGCCUACUUCUCCCUCCCCCUCAGACCUUCCCCCUACUCAUGUUGUGUCUUUCUCUCUGUCAAAUAGAUAAAUAAAAAAUCUUAAAAAAAAUUUUCUUGAUGAACUCUUGGGAUUCUUGCUAAAACUGUUUUCUGCUUAGUUGUGGUUCUUUUUAUUAGAUAAUGAGGGUUUUUGUUUUUGUUUGUUUGUUUUUGGGUUUGUUUGUUUUGGUGUUUGUGCCAGGGAAGGUCUCUUUUUGCCUUGGUUUCUAGAAAGUUCAGUUGCCUUAGGUUUUCACUGAAUAGGUAUGCUGGUAAAACUGUCCUUGCCUACGUCUGCCUCCUUCCAUUUAAUAGAAUACACAGGGUGCUCUCUUUCUAUGCUGCUUUUUUUUUUUUUAAGAUUUUAUUUAUUUAUUUGACAGAGAGACAGAAUGAGCACAAGCAGGGGGAGUGGCAGGCAGAAGGAGAGGGAGAAGCAGGCUCUCUGCAGAGCAGGGGAAGCCCGAUAUGGGACUUAAUCCCAGGACUCUAGGAUCACGACCUGAGUCAUGAAGGCAGUGGCUUAACCAAUUGAGCCACCCAGGAGCCUCUUUUUAUGCUUAUUCUAACAUAGUUCUGUUGAAACCUUAAUGGACAUACAUGAGGUUUGAGAGGAAAUAAAGGUUGACUCACUAUACUUUCUCAAGGCUCCAUGAACUUGCUCCUGUGGGAAGUCCACCCACCCCCGUAUUUUAGCCUGUACAGACUCUGACAGUAUUCCCAAGGGAGAAGCAGCGUGCCUUCCUGGGGUUCUCGGCCUAAAGCAUGUUGGCUUUGGGGCAGAGACAUUUUGGGUGUGUUUUACGGCUGUAGCAUUUACUUUGGGACCUUGGGCAUGUUAGCUCGUCUCCGAAGCUGUUUCUGCAUCUCUAAAAUGGGAUGACAGUAAGAACCUCAGGGUCCUUUGGUGUUGGUACUCAGCAUGGUGAUCCUGUAAAGUCCUUGGUACAGCAAUGCAAGGAAGGUGUUCAGUAAAGAUUGGUGACUGUUGUUACUUGCGGCUCUGCUUAAUUCCCAUUGGGGUGAAGCUGCCUCCAUGCGGCCCAGUUUAGUGGGAAAUCUGCUAGAGACCUUGCCCUUCGUCCUCAUCUCUUAGUUCACCGUCCACACUGCGUGAUUUUGAAUUCCAGGAGUGAGGAGUCAGGCUUUGGAUCACCUGCUGGGGUGUGUCUUAUGCAGACAGGGAUCAUUGCGUGUUUUGUGAUUUGAGCCUUGAAGUUUCACAGGUGUCUGUCCUGGGAAACAUGUGAACACACGUGUGGGGACACGUGGUCAGGCUGAGGCUCUGGGAAGGCCUGCAGGGCCCCAGCUUUUUUUUUUUUUUUUUAAAAAUUUUAUAUUUAUUUAUUCGACAGAGAGAAAUCACAAGUAGUCGGAGAGGCAGGCAGAGAGAGAGAGAGGGAAGCAGGCUCCCUACUGAGCAGAGAGCCCGAUGCGGGACUCGAUCCCAGGACCCUGAGAUCAUGACCUGAGCCGAAGGCAGCGGCUUAACCCACUGAGCCACCCAGGUGCCCCGGGCCCCAGCUUUUUAAACAGCAGUCAUACCGGGGCCUGCCUCCGAGCUCUGGGCCAGUGGGCAUCCCGUUGCCGGAGGACUAGCCUGGAGACCUUAUGUUUUCAGUUUCUCUUUCCUCCCUUCUUUUUACUUCUCCCAUCUUUGUCCCCACUUCCUCUGCCCUCCCUGUUCCCUUUCUCCUUUUCCCCCGCCCUUCCCUCCAUAUAAGAGAAAUGGUUUCUUCUUUAUUCUCUUUUAGAAAUAUUUAUUUUUAGAGAGAGUGUGCGACGGCACUUGCUCGCAUGUGGGGGUGGGAGCAGAGAGAAAGGGGGACAGAGAAUCUCAAGCAGACUUCCCACUGAAUGUGGAGCCCGACUCAGGGCUCGAGCCCUGGAAUCAGGACCUGAACCGAAAUCGAGAGUCAGACACUUAACCGAUUGAGGCACCCCUCUUUUUUCUUUCUCUAAAAAUUUUACACCAGGGGUGGAUCUAGCUGGGCAGACUCUGGAAGCUGUGUCACAUUCGACCAGAACUACUUUGGUAGAGACUGCAGGAUACAGGCCCUGCUGGGUUAAUGUUCUUCAGUGCUUUUCUAGCACAAGGUGGCCCGUUGUGUCCGGGUAACAGGCACCUUCUUCUGUUCCUGGACACAUCCUGGGAUAAUGGAGGGGCUCCAUUAUGCUGAUCUGGAACAUGCUGGGGUUUGGCUACAAGAGGAAGAUUAGGAAAGGUGUUUCCCAGCCAUGCUGCUGAGCAUGCUGGUGAGCGAACAGACAAGAGAGGGGACGACGGGUCCUUAACACCGUGUGUGCAGACAGUGUGUGGUCGGUCUAGAGAAUUUUCAGAUGGAGCUAAGUGGGAAGGGAGGACUGAGUGUGUGCAUGUGAGCUCUGGAAGUCUUUAGGAGGGAACCUGACCACUGGGAGAAGGGAAGAAGGAGGGAGAGUGUGCAGAGACCGGCCACUCCUCCUGUGGGUGAUGGCAAGCUGCUGGAAGGUGGUUUUACCCUGAGUUACUGCCCUGCAGAGAGGCUGUUUUAGACCUUACCUAGCCUAUCUCAUCCCCCACCCCUGCCACCCUAGCACUGUUUCAGAAUAGAUGAUGGGGUUCUGGGCUUGGGCCCCUCCCAGCAUGGGAGUUCUCAGCCUUCUAGAGCCACUAUCCUCAUGGUGCUUUCUGAUUUCCCCUAGUGCUUCCGGGAGCCCAGGGACAAGGCAGGGCAAGGUGGACACUUGUUGUCAUGCAGAAUUGGGUGAAAGUACCAUGGAGUGAGUGGGGUAGUUGAAGCAAGGGGCUGUGGGAUUCAAGCUGGAGGGAAGGGCCCAAGAAAGGCAAAGUGGAGGGAUCACAAGGUGGUGGUCUCCAGGUGGUGUAGUGGGAAUAAAUGAGGGGGAACUGUGAGGAGAGGGGGCUGGAGGGGCUGAUCAUGAUCAGGGAGGGGGGCGUCUGAAUUUCAGAUUUCAGGUGGCCCAGACUCGGCUGGCAGAGGUGGAGCGUGCGGUCAGGGAGGGACUAGGGAGCGGACGUGUGAGUGUGAGCAGGGUGGCUUGAGUCUCAAGUGAGCCAGCGUAAGGGCAGGUGGAAGGAAAUGAACCAUCUGUGGCUGGAGGAGCCGGAGAAUGCGGAUACUAACUCUAGACCCCGAGUGGACCAGCUCAGAGCAAGACUCGAAUCCUCAUCUUGCAGGUCUUCCGCCCUCCUGGAUUUUGAUCUGUGUGCUGGAACACGUAUGUGGGCCGCGCUGAACCUGCUCAGUGGGGGAGAACCUUCCUUCUUGCUUCUCAGUGGCUGGGAAGAUGAUGAUAGGGCUAAGCCUGGGGCAUGGUGACCCUGACAUUCCUUCUCUUACAGGAAUUCUGUUCUCCUUUUCAACCCAACUUGCCAUGUUUCAGCUUAUCUGAUAAAUAUAAUUGUACUUCUUUUUCUGUAUCAAGAAAAACCUUGACAACAGUCCGUUCGGAUGAUCAUAACUGCAGGCGUGAACUCCACUGCUCAGUGUCAUUUCAGGUGUUUCUCCCUAUUUAUGUGGGGGUUUGUGGUGGUAAAAAAUGGGAAGGGACAAGUCUGAGUUUGAGAAAAGGUAAUGCGAGUCCCCUGCUGCCCAGUCUUCUUUUCCGGACCAGGAGGCUGGGAGGGGUGUUAGGCCCACCCAGGUGUGCACGCAGCACCAUCUAGUGGGUGAGAGAAGCACCAGCAGCAGGAGUGACCGCUUAACCCAGAGGCACCUGUACCCUGGGGUUGGCAACUUCCGAAAGUGGUUGAAGGAAAGAGGAGGUUAAUUGUCCAGAGAAUCCCACAGGAAGGCAGAUGGCUUCAGUUGUGUAGAACAAAACAAAUCUCCCUCCAUCCCUCCAUGCCUUCCUCUGUCUUGUUCUUUCUACCUUUAUUCUAAUUGAUCCCCAUCUGCUGUUUGCUGGAGUUCAUUCCAGAGACUGUUUUUUGCAAUUUAUGAGAAGAGGGAGGGUAUUAGGAAAGCCAAGUGUGACGGUGUCUUUCCUGCUUAGGCUGCUGUUUAGGAGGUCCUGGUGGUGGUGUGAUUUCAGUGCCUUGCGGGCAACUUUUUUCUUCCAGCUCUCAGU
ensembl:lincRNA